GCACUCUGUCAGUGUGCUGAGAGACAUCAAUUGGCAUCCUGUUGGCUAGUCCUAACCAGAGUAGACCAAUGGAAUCAAUAUUUGAAAGAUUAUUGUGCUAGUAAAUGUGCAGCAUCUGGGUUUUUGGAAUCUCUUGCUUUUGAAAUGACAGCUGCGGGAAAGAAAGGUAUUAAAGCCACCAUUGUCAUUCCUUCUUUUGUGGAAACAGGAUUCGUUACUGGGGUAAAAGCCAGCAGGCCACAGCUGUUUCCUGUCUCGGUAAACUAUGUGGUAAAGAAGAUUGUGGAUGGUAUUCUGAAAGAGAAACUUUACGUGGUCCUGCCAUCAUAUGCAAGACUAAAUGUUUUGAAACUGUAAGAACGUA
rnacentral:lncRNA from 11 species